CAGAACAAAAAUGUAAUUGCUUUGCCUUUAAGAAGCCUCUGCGAGGCUGGGAGAAAUGAGAUCCUGGUGGCUGUCAAUGAAGUACUUAAUUAAGCAGAACAGGUAACUCCAUCAGUAUUAUCAAGAAACAUGGGAAGCUAUAUUUUCUUUGGAACUGCUGAUACCUGGGGGCCUGGAGGGAGUGAAUACCUCUUCUUCCUGAUCUCCCUCUAACCCCACACAGGGUGCGUUCUUUCCACCUGCUCUGAAAUAAUGGUUCACUGGAAAAGUCAUAACCGUAUCUUUCCUAGGCAAUAAGGUGUCAUGACUUUUCCAACACCCAGUAACGACCUAGGUCAGUUCCUUAAUGCCUGUCUGGCCCCAGGCUGAAUGUGCAGUUUGUUGUUAGGAAAUGAAUGUCUGUCCACCAUCCCCAGUGCAUAUCCUGAAGCCUCAACUCCCCCAAUAUGGCUGCAUUUGGAGAUGGGGCCUUAAAGGUUAAAUGAGGCCAUAAGGGUGGGGCCCUGAUCUAAAGUGAUUAGUACCCUUGUAAGAAGAGACACCAGAGCCAGAGUGCUGUCUGUCUGUCUGUUCUCCUUCUCCCCACACUGUGAGGAUACAGCAAGAAGGUGGGUAUCUGCAAGCCAGUAAGAGAGCCCUUACCAAGAACCCAAUGGGACGGCACCUUGACUGGGACUUUCAGCCUCAGAACUGUGAGACUAGAAGUAUCUGUUAAUAAGCUCUCCCUGCCUCCUGCCCAAUCUAUGGUAUUUUGUUACAGCGGCUUGAACUAACAUCAUAGAAUCCGGUGUGACAUGACAUCUAUGGGAUGCCCACCAGGCCUCAGUGUCCCUAUUGAUAAAUGGGGACAAUAACCUACCCUGCAAGCUGUGGAGGGAUUGAAUGAAGGCUCAAGCCUCGAGGUGCCUGGACCAGGGAAGACUUAGUCCUGAUGUCACCUCCACAUGUUCACGACUAUUUCAGAAUUUUGCAAAUGAGGCAAGCAAGGAGGAGGUGCCAAUGAACCUGCCCAAGAUCACAAUGGGAGCGUGUGAAGUGGGAUCAGAACCCAGGCCUUUUGGCCCCAACCCAGGCUAGUCUGGAGCGUGAUGUCCCCAAACAACCCAGGCUGGUGACCAACACACAGACUUUGCCAGAGGAGGUGGACAGGAGGAUUUACGAGGUCUGAUGAAGACGGAUGAGGACAGCCUAUUGCUGUGAAAAUUUCCUGGUAACACCAUAAAAUAUCUGAGAAACACAUGAUUUAUGGCUGACAGCAGAAGACCGUGAAGUGUGACAGACAGGCAUUGCCGGGCCUGAUGAGCAUGCUGGGCCUUCUGCUGGCACAGCCAGGGCAGGGGGCUGCAGCCUGGCCAGGAGGAGGGACUGUGAAGGGCGAAAUACUGAGCCCAUGGUCACCUGCUGUCCUCACGCUCCACACAGGAGGGUGGACUUCUGAGUUCUGGGUUCUCUGAGCUACAGUAAAACUGCUAGUCUAUCCAUAGCAUGCUGACCCAGUGACCGCACGGAGGGGCCCUGGUCCACUCUGCUGGGCUAGCUGCCUUGGAGGUGUGUCUGGCUGAAGGCGCAUGGUGGGGUGGUGGGUAAACUCGACACGAACAGCUGGCCAGCGCUCCUCAGCACUUUUGGGAAUCACCUGAACCCAGCAGGACAUCUGAGGGGCGUCUGUAACUCAACACUUCACAGCAGGACUCUCUGUCUCCCACUCCAGCUCAACCCACCCUGGGAGAGCCCCACAACUGUGCAGCUGUGUGUGAAAAACCCAGGGAAUCCCCACAUCGACCCCGCCCCUCAUCUGUGAGUCCUACCCUCCACACAGAACUCAGUCUGACUCCUCUCCACCCCAGCUUUGGAUGUGAAACGGCCUCCCAAGGGCCGUCCUGCCCCGUAGUGUCUGGGGCUGCUGCAACAAGGUGCCACAGACGACGCAGCUUAACAUAGUGAAAUGAUUGCUUGCAGAUCAGGAGGCCAGAAGUCCAAAAGCGAACCCCUGGAGGCCCUGAAGGAGGAUGUGUUCUGCACUUCUCUUCCGGAGCCUCGACAUGUCUUGACUUAAAGCUGCAUCGCAGCAGGCCCUGCAGAGAAGUCAGACAAGCUGGGAGAUACAUACCAAUUCUCGUCACGCUAGAAGUACAUCAAACCACUCGCCAGGCCCUAAAUGUCUGUGCUCUCCUCUCCCAGCUUCUUCCUUCCCCAGGUGGGUGCAGGACUCCCUCCAAGGCCCCCAGCUGGCUCUGCCUCUGGGCCUUUACAAGCAGCCUUGCCCUGAGCUGACCUCGCCUUUUCACCUUUUCCCCGGAGGUGGACUCUGGCCUCUCCUGAGUCGCUCUGACUUAUACUCUAUGCAACAUCUGCCCUUCUAGAGAUCAUCUUGAUUACUUACGUACUGCCCACCCCUCAGUUCCUCAGGGGUCAGAGGACACUGCAUAUGCCAAGUGCUUAGAGAUACAAGAAGGAAGGAAGAAAAGGAUACAUUCUCACUUCAUUUCCAAUCAGAAGAUGACCUCACCAACUGGGUGGUCCAAGAUGGUAGCCCUAGCCACCUGUGGCCACUUAAAUUUUAAU